rnacentral:rRNA from 1 species
AUUGAACGCUGGCGGCAUGCCUAACACAUGCAAGUCGAACGGCAGCACGGCAGUAGCAAUACUGUGGGUGGCGAGUGGCGGACGGGUGAGGAAUACGUCGGAAUCUGCCCAGUCGUGGGGGAUAACUAGCCGAAGGUUAAGCUAAUACCGCAUACGACCGAGAGGUGAAAGCGGGGGACCGCAAGGCCUCGCGCGAUUGGAUGAGCCGACGUCGGAUUAGCUAGUUGGUGGGGUAAAGGGCCCACCAAGGCGACGAUCCGUAGCUGGUCUGAGAGGAUGAUCAGCCACACUGGAACUGAGACACGGUCCAGACUCCUACGGGAGGCAGCAGUGGGGAAUAUUGGACAAUGGGCGGCAAGCCUGAUCCAGCAAUGCCGCGUGUGUGAAGAAGGCC